ACGUAGGGGGCUAGCGUUGUCCGGAUUUAUUGGGCGUAAAGAGCGUGUAGGCGGCCUGACAAGUCUGCUGUGAAAACUCGAGGCUCAACCUCGAGAUGUCGGCGGAAACUGUCUGGCUAGAGUCCGGAAGAGGAGAGUGGAAUUCCUGGUGUAGCGGUGAAAUGCGCAGAUAUCAGGAAGAACACCUAUGGCGAAGGCAGCUCUCUGGGACGGUACUGACGCUGAGACGCGAAAGCGUGGGGAGCGAACAGGA
rnacentral:rRNA from 1 species